GAUGAAGAACGUAGCGAAAUGCGAUACGUAAUGUGAAUUGCAGAAUUCAGUGAAUCAUCGAGUCUUUGAACGCACAUUGCGCCCCCUGGUAUUCCGGGGGGCAUGCCUGUCCGAGCGUCAUUGCUGCCCUCAAGCACGGCUUGUGUGUUGGGCCUCCGUCCACCUCCCGGGGGACGGGCCCGAAAGGCAGCGGCGGCACCGCGUCCGGUCCUCGAGCGUAUGGGGCUUCGUCACCCGCUCUUGUAGGCCCGGCCGGCGCUUGCCGACACAUCAAUCUUUUUUCCAGGUUGACCUCGGAUCAGGUAGGGAUACCCGCUGAACUUAAGCAUAUCAAUAAGCGGAGA
rnacentral:misc_RNA from 1 species